UAAUUGCAAGACAAGCCUGUCUAAUGUAAC
rnacentral:piRNA from 1 species